UUCCAAGAAGAAACUACAAAUAAGAUGUACUUCUCAUGGCCAAUCCCAAGAGGUAAUGCUAGCAACGCUGCUCCACAAGGCGAUGAAAUAUGAGACUGCUUCCCACAGAGACUGCAUCCACAGGCAGGGUCAACCAUCAAUGUCACACAGAAAAGACUGUGAGAGCACACACGGCAAACCCUGUCAAUGGAGGCAGCCAUCAGCAUGUACAAGCUUUAUUUGUGAUGUUCACAAAGCAAUAUACAAACAUAACUGGUUCGCUCCAUUUGUAAGGGAAAAGCAUCCUCCCCCGUCAUAUGCAUGAAACUAAAGCAUCCUCCCCCAUCACAUACAUAAAACUAAGUCAAAACCACUCAGAUUUAAGCACAACUUAGAAGUUCCAAAAAAUAUAUAUAUGGUUUUAAAACCCCUAUAUGCACAUAGUAGAUGCAUAGCCAAAUUCAGGAAAUAUAAGGAAAGAAAACAAUAAGAAUGGAAAGUAAAAGGGAGUUCUUUUUUCCCUUUUGCAUUUUAUAUGUAGCAGACUGGACUUCAUUCGUCCAGAAAAAAAAAGGUAAACCAUUUCCAGCAAUAGAUGCAUUGAUUGAGGGGGAUUCAAUUCAAAAUAUCAAAAGAGAAACAGGCGGAUAUUCCACUCAAAUUUUACAGGAUUGAAGGAACAGUCCAGAAUCUAGCAAACAACAGACGAGCUAAGCCAUAUGCAGGAUGCUGCUUGAGGUUCCAUUUCAUGAAAUAAGCGUUUCAGGAAAUACCAUGAUUCAGAGUAAAGUCCAAAGCAAUAUUUCAGAAAAAGGAACUCUAUCGCUCAAAAAUGAGAUAUUGUGCAAAAAUGAUUCAUCCAAACACAUGGUUCUGGAAUGAGGGCCAUUUAACUUGAUUAGAUGACCAAUCUUGAAUAAUAAUGUACCCAAUAAAUUGGAAUGAUAGCCUAUUUUGGAAAGUUUUAAUGUAGAACUAAAGAGAGAGAGCAUUCCUAUAAACACGAGCACCCCUACACUAGCUACAUAACCCUGAUAACUAUAAGUUUGCAUAAAAGAGCCACCAUAUGGCUUUUGAAUGCAAUACAUAUAUUAAGAAAACAAAACCAAUUGUGAUAGAAAAUGGUAGAAAUCCAACUCAGGACUCCAGUUUCAAAAAAUUUACCAUCCAAGUAGCACAAUUUCAUAAGAGGAGAAAUAACACCUCCAAUCUGAUUUCACAAUCAAACCAAAACCACAAGAAAAUAGAGAUUGCAAGAGUUCGUCAUGCGUCAACAGUGCUCUUCCUCAGAUUAUUUUUUUAAAAGCUUUACAUCCAACAAAAUAUCUAUCAUCCAACUAAAUAUCUAUCACUUUCACUUGUGCUAAGAAAGAUACUUAGAGCAUCACCAAAAGCAUAUGCCUUCUCCAACUUAAAUAUAGCAUAAAAGUGGCCAGCUCAUGUCAACUAUAGUAACUAUGUAAUGAUUCAUUAGCGAUCAAACCCGGAUGUCCCUCAAUCAGGCAAGCACUUCAAAAUGCCUUACUAGACUUAGACCCAUACAACAUCAGUCAACCAUAGGAGUACAGCUAUGGAAGGCCAUGCCACAGCCUACACAGUAGACACAAUUCAAAUCAUUGGGCCACACUAAGAAUCUAAAAUAUUCCAGUGCAUAAAGAUACUCACACUAUGACAAAUCACACAACCUAACAAUUGAUUGUCUCAUGACAUCUAUUGCUCUAUCUCCCUUAGGAAGAAGGUCUAGCACAAAAUCCCAAAAUUAAUGAACAGUCCACAAAGACGUUUUUCCAUACAAAAAGACAACCAAUCCCUCCCAUAUUUGAUACAUCACAAGCAUAAAAAAAGUUUAAACUCAGCCAUGUAAACUCUGGUACUAGUAUAGAUUUCUUUACUGAUGGGAAAAUGAGAGAAGAUCAAUCACUCCCCAUUGGAAACAAUACAUAUAGUCACAUCAACCUUGCCAACAAAUAACAAUCAAUAUAUAAAGUGCCAUUCGAAUAUGAAUUCAGAUAUAUAAUCAACUAAAGGCUUGUAUGUUGUAGCAUAUCUAGUACAUGUUCAGUGUGCAACAUGCAACAUCUGCAAUCCACUGUCGACAGAAGAUGGCUGAUGUUACAUGUAGCACACUAAAUAGCAUGCUAUAUACAUAGUGAUGUGAUCAGCACUUGCCGACAAAAUGUUUUAAUAUGCUAAAAACUUUCCAACAUAAGGUUUAUCCGAGCAUAAAGAGAUCAUAUAGACACCAUGAUUCAGGGUAUCAAACAAGUUACCAAUAAUCUCCGUCUUUCACUCUAGAUGCAAAUGCAUCUCAUAUGGUAAGGAAACCACCGCUCGAAUCAGAUGUGUUUACAUUUGGAAUCAAUGAUGGCAAUCCUAAGUAACAUGUUUGGGGCAUGCUCUGUUAAUUUUACAUAGAAGCAUGGUAUUGCAUUUCAAAGUAAAAAACUAUAACACAAAAUUCAUCAGUGAAAUAUAACUAACUGAUAUCCAAAGUGACCCCAUAAAUCAGUCUGAUGUGUUCGAUGCAAAAAUCUAUUCCUACUGAACAUGCAAAGAUGACCAUUAAAUUAAGUCCAAAUAAUGCAGUUAGCCUAUUUUAUCACCCAUUCAGAAUAUUGGAAUUUACAAAUGCAACAAAAGCUGGAGUUUACAGACAUCUAGCGUAUGGAUCGUGAAAAAAUAAAAAAAGACAUGCAAUAAUGACACAUUGGCGAAACAAUAAUGACACAUUGGCGAAAAAAUAUAUCAAGAUGUGGGAGCUGAACCCUAGAUAAGAAAAUAAUGACACAUUGGCGAAACAAUUAUUUCCCUCUUAAAUAUGCAAACACCACCAGUAAUGGCAAUGACAGCAAAAGAAAAUAAAGUUAGGAUCAUCACUAAAGAAUAAAGCAACAAAAAGCCACUAAAGAAUAACCCAAUGCAAAUGAGAGCUUUGAAAAUCCCCUGCAUACCAAAUACCAAACAGCAAAACAACAACAACAACAGCAAAAGGAUGAACCAAACCUAAAGAAGCAAAUCAUAUUACAAAUAUAACAAAUUCUAGAAAAC
rnacentral:lncRNA from 1 species